AGAGUUUGAUCAUGCUCAGGUACGCUGCGCGUGCUAACACAUGCAAGUCGAACGGUUCUAAGCGCGAGCUUAGGAUAGUGGCGAACGGGUGAGUAAAAGGUAGGAAUCUACCCCUUGGACGGAGAUAGCUACUGGAAACGGUAGGUAAACUUCGAUAAGCCCGAGAGGGGAAAGUGGUGAGACAGCCGAGGGAUGAGCCUACUCUCCAUCAGGUAGUUGGUGAGAUAAAAGCUUACCAAGCCGAUGACGGAUAACCGGUGUGAGAGCAUGAACGGUCACAAGGGCACUGAGAGACGGGCCCUACUCCUACGGGAGGCAGCAGUGGGGAAUCUUGGACAAUGGGCGAAAGCCUGAUCCAGCGACGCCGCGUGGAGGAAGAAGUCCUUCGGGAUGUAAACUUCUGAACUAGCCGAAUAAAAGGCCUGUGGACACACAGGAGAAGAAAGUAGGCUAGGAAAAGUCCCGGCUAACUACGUGCCAGCAGCCGCGGUAAGACGUAGGGGGCAAGCGUUAUCCGGAUUUACUGGGUGUAAAGGGAGCGUAGGUGGUGAAGCAAGUCAGAUGUGAAAGCCCGGGGCUCAACUCCGGGACUGCAUUUGAAACUGUUUUGCUAGAGUGCAGGAGAGGUAAGUGGAAUUCCUAGUGUAGCGGUGAAAUGCGUAGAUAUUAGGAGGAACACCAGUGGCGAAGGCGGCUUACUGGACUGUAACUGACACUGAGGCUCGAAAGCGUGGGGAGCAAACAGGAUUAGAUACCCUGGUAGUCCACGCCGUAAACGAUGUUUACUAGGUGUCGGGGAGCAAAAGCUCUUCGGUGCCGUCGCAAACGCAUUAAGUAUCCACCUGGGGAG
rnacentral:rRNA from 1 species